AGAGUUUGAUCAUGGCUCAGGACGAACGCUGGCGGCGUGCCUAACACAUGCAAGUCGAACGAUCCGAUUGAAAGAUUGGAUAGUGGCGGACGGGUGAGUAACGCGUGAGCAACCUACCUUCAACUGGGGAAUAACACCGUGAAAACGGUGCUAAUACCGCAUAACGUUGCACCAUGGCAUCAUGGAGCAACCAAAGGAGCAAUCCGGUAGAAGAUGGCCUCGCGUCCGAUUAGUUAGUUGGUGGGGUAAUGGCCUACCAAGACAGCGAUCGGUAGCCGGACUGAGAGGUCGAUCGGCCACAUUGGAACUGAGAAACGGUCCAGACUCCUACGGGAGGCAGCAGUGGGGAAUAUUGGGCAAUGGGCGAAAGCCUGACCCAGCAACGCCGCGUGAAGGAAGAAGGCCUUCGGGUUGUAAACUUCUUUGAUCGGGGACGAAAAAAAUGACGGUACCCGAAAAACAAGCCACGGCUAACUACGUGCCAGCAGCCGCGGUAAUACGUAGGUGGCGAGCGUUAUCCGGAUUUACUGGGUGUAAAGGGCGUGUAGGCGGUUUUUCAAGUCGGAUGUGAAAUUCCCAGGCUUAACCUGGGCGCUGCAACCGAAACUGAG
rnacentral:rRNA from 1 species